GCUGGGCAUGGUGGUGCACGCCUGUAGUCCCAGCUACUCGGGAGGCUGAGGCAGGAGAAUCGCUUGAACCUGGGAGGUGGAGGUUGCAGUGAGCUGAGAUUGCGUCACUGCACUCCAGCCUGGGUGACAGAGCGAGACUCUGUCUCAA
rnacentral:SRP_RNA from 1 species